GUCUACAGCCAUGCCACCCUGAACAAGCCUGAUCCUGAUCUCGGAUGCUAAGCAGGGUCGGGCCUGGUUAGUACUUGGAUGGGAGACCACCCAGGAAGACCAGGUGCUGUAGGUA
rfam:Pteropus alecto contig92474, whole genome shotgun sequence.